GUGCUCACAUUCCUUAAAUUAAGGAGUAAGUCUGCCAGCAUUAUGAAAGUGAAUCUUACUUUUGUAAAACUUUAUGGUUUGUGGAAAACAAAUGUUUUUGAACAUUUAAAAAGUUCAGAUGUUAGAAAGUUGAAAGGUUAAUGUAAAACAAUCAAUAUUAAAGAAUUUUGAUGCCAAAACUAUUAGAUAAAAGGUUAAUCUACAUCCCUACUAGAAUUCUCAUACUUAACUGGUUGGUUGUGUGGAAGAAACAUACUUUCACAAUAAAGAGCUUUAGGAUAUGAUGCCAUUUUAUAUCACUAGUAGGCAGACCAGCAGACUUUUUUUUAUUGUGAUAUGGGAUAACCUAGGCAUACUGCACUGUACACUCUGACAUAUGAUCAUAUUUUGUUGAAUAAAAUAAGUAAAAUGUCUUGUGAAACAAAAUGCUUUUUAACAUCCAUAUAAAGCUAUCUAUAUAUAGCUAUCUAUAUCUAUAUAGCUAUUUUUUUUAACUUCCUUUAUUUUCCUUACAGGGUUUCAGACAAAAUCAAAAAGAAG
rnacentral:sRNA from 1 species